rnacentral:rRNA from 1 species
UACAGAGGUCUCAAGCGUUGUUCGGAUUCAUUGGGCGUAAAGGGUGUCGUAGGCGGCGCGGUUAAGUCGGGUGUGAAAUUCGAUGACUUAACUCCGAAACUGCAUUCGAUACUGCGUGCUUGAGGACUGGAGAGGAGACUGGAAUUUACGGUGUAGCGGUGAAAUGCGUAGAUAUCGUAAGGAAGACCAGUGGCGAAGGCGGGUCUCUGGACAGUUCCUGACACUGAGGCACGAAGGCCAGGGGGAGCAAAAC